rnacentral:rRNA from 1 species
GUCGAACGAGGUAGCAAUACCAAGUGGCGCACGGGUGAGUAACACGUGGAUAAUGUGCCAUUUAGUGGGGAAUAACCGACCGAAAGGUCAGCUAAUACCGCAUGAGACCACAGUCCCUGAGGGGACAGAGGUUAAAGAUUUAUCGCUAAAUGAUCAGUCUGCGUAAGAUUAGCUAGUUGGUGAGGUAACGGCUCACCAAGGCAACGAUCUUUAGGUGGUCUGAGAGGAUGACCACCCACACUGGAACUGGGACACGGUCCAGACUCCUACGGGAGGCAGCAGUAGGGAAUAUUGCACAAUGGGGGAAACCCUGAUGCAGCGACGCCGCGUGAGUGAUGAAGGCCUUCGGUCGUAAAGCUCUGUUGAAUGGGAAUAAAAAAAUGAAGGUACCAUUUAAGAAAGGAUCGGCUAACUUCGUGCCAGCAGCCGCGGUAAUACGAGGGAUCCUAGCGUUGUUCGGAAUCAUUGGGCGUAAAGAGUAUGUAGGCGGCCUUGUAAGUCAGUUGUGAAAGCCCCGGGCUUAACCCGGGAAGUGCAAUUGAUACUGCUUGGCUUGAAUGUGGAAGAGGGCAGUAGAAUUCCAGGUGUAGUGGUGAAAUACGUAGAUAUCUGGAGGAAUACCGGUGGCGAACGCGGCUGCCUGGUCCUACGUUGACGCUGAGAUACGAAAGCGUGGGGAGCAAACAGGAUUAGAUACCCUGGUAGUCCACGCUGUAAACGAUGAACACUUGUUGGUU